UUCCUCCUCUUUAGCAGAGGCGGUCCCAACAGUGUCCCCACCAUCCCGGAGGACAUGCUGGCAACUGUUGGCGUGGGUCUCGCUCGUUGCCUGACUUAACAGGAUGCUUCACAGUACGAACUGACGACGGCCAUGCACCUCCUCUCAGCUAGUCAAGCAGAGUCUUCAACCCGGCUAUCAUUCAGCUGUCUUAUCCGGUGAGCUUCCCGGCGUUGAGUCCGAUUAAACCGCAGGCUCCACCUGUUGUGGUGCUCCCCCGCCAAUUCCUUUAAGUUUCAGCCUUGCGACCGUACUUCCCAGGCGGCACGUUUCACGGUUUCCCUUCGGCACCUCGGUGACUCGUGGUCACCGAUACACCUAACGCGCAUCGUUUACAGCUGGGACUACCCGGGUAUCUAAUCCGGUUUGCUCCCCCAGCUUUCGUCCCUCACUGUCGGAGCCGUUCUAGUGAGACGCCUUCGCCACAGGUGGUCCCCCAAGGAUUACAGGAUUUCACUCCUACCCCUGGAGUACCUCUCACCUCUCCCGGUCCCUAGGUUGCCAGUAUCUCCUGAACGCCCAUCGGUUGAGCCGAUGGAUUUCCCAGGAGACUUAACAACCAAGCUACGGACGCUUUAAGCCCAGUAAUAGUGGCCACCACUCGAGCCGCCGGUAUUACCGCGGCGGCUGGCACCGGUCUUGCCCGGCUCUUUCUUCACCAGUUUUUUGCACUGGCGGACAGCCCGAAUUUACGGGCACUCGGGGUUCCCUUAUCACGAUUUCUCGCAUUGUAAAGUUUUCGCGCCUGCUGCGCCCCGUAGGGCCUGGAUUCGUGUCUCAGAAUCCAUCUCCGGGCUCUUGCUCCCACAACCCGUACCGAUCAAAGGCUUGUUGGGCCGUUACCCCAACAACAACCUAAUCGGCCGCAGACCCAUCCUGUGGCGGCGGACCUUUGAGCUAGGGGGCAUUCCAGCCACCCUAACCUAUGGGGUAUUAUCCCCAGUUUUCCGGGGUUAUCCCCCUCCACAGGGUAGGUUGUCC
rnacentral:rRNA from 1 species